GACGAACGCUGGCGGCGUGCCUAAUACAUGCAAGUAGAACGCUGAAGAGAGGAGCUUGCUCUUCUUGGAUGAGUUGCGAACGGGUGAGUAACGCGUAGGUAACCUGCCUGGUAGCGGGGGAUAACUAUUGGAAACGAUAGCUAAUACCGCAUAAAAUUGAUUAUUGCAUGAUAAUUAAUUGAAAGAUGCAACUGCAUCACUACCAGAUGGACCUGCGUUGUAUUAGCUAGUUGGUGAGGUAACGGCUCACCAAGGCGACGAUACAUAGCCGACCUGAGAGGGUGAUCGGCCACACUGGGACUGAGACACGGCCCAGACUCCUACGGGAGGCAGCAGUAGGGAAUCUUCGGCAAUGGGGGGAACCCUGACCGAGCAACGCCGCGUGAGUGAAGAAGGUUUUCGGAUCGUAAAGCUCUGUUGUAAGAGAAGAACGGGUGUGAGAGUGGAAAGUUCACACUGUGACGGUAUCUUACCAGAAAGGGACGGCUAACUACGUGCCAGCAGCCGCGGUAAUACGUAGGUCCCGAGCGUUGUCCGGAUUUAUUGGGCGUNAAGCGAGCGCAGGCGGUUAGAUAAGUCUGAAGUUAAGGCUGUGGCUUAACCAUAGUAUGCUUUGGAAACUGUUUAACUUGAGUGCAGAAGGGGAGAGUGGAAUUCCAUGUGUAGCGGUGAAAUGCGUAGAUAUAUGGAGGAACACCGGUGGCGAAAGCGGCUCUCUGGUCUGUAACUGACGCUGAGGCUCGAAAGCGUGGGGAGCAAACAGGAUUAGAUACCCUGGUAGUCCACGCCGUAAACGAUGAGUGCUAGGUGUUAGGCCCUUUCCGGGGCUUAGUGCCGCAGCUAACGCAUUAAGCACUCCGCCUGGGGAGUACGACCGCAAGGUUGAAACUCAAAGGAAUUGACGGGGGCCCGCACAAGCGGUGGAGCAUGUGGUUUAACUCGAAGCAACGCGAAGAACCUUACCAGGUCUUGACAUCCCUCUGACCGCUCUAGAGAUAGAGUUUUCCUUCGGGACAGAGGUGACAGGUGGUGCAUGGUUGUCGUCAGCUCGUGUCGUGAGAUGUUGGGUUAAGUCCCGCAACGAGCGCAACCCCUAUUGUUAGUUGCCAUCAUUGAGUUGGGCACUCUAGCGAGACUGCCGGUAAUAAACCGGAGGAAGGUGGGGAUGACGUCAAAUCAUCAUGCCCCUUAUGACCUGGGCUACACACGUGCUACAAUGGCUGGUACAACGAGUCGCAAACCGGUGACGGCAAGCUAAUCUCUGAAAGCCAGUCUCAGUUCGGAUUGUAGGCUGCAACUCGCCUACAUGAAGUCGGAAUCGCUAGUAAUCGCGGAUCAGCACGCCGCGGUGAAUACGUUCCCGGGCCU
rnacentral:rRNA from 1 species